GUCAAUAUGCAGUUCACAACAAUUUUAUUCGCAGCAGUAUUGCUGAUUGCAAGUUUCUAUUCUGUUCUUUCUUGUCCCUGGUGUCCACCUGGGCAACAUGAGCAGCGUGGAGUCUGUGUUUCUAUUCCAAAUCCUCAUGAAAAUUAAGUUGUUCUACUAGAUCUACUAGAUGCCUGAUGUUAUAUUCUAUAUCGAAAAAUAUGUUGAAAUUUUGAUAAAUCCUGAAUUUUAAUAAAUAUUCUUUUUCCUA